ensembl:lncRNA
UUUUUUUUUUUUUUUUUUUUUUUUCCCCCCCCUAAUCUAUAGAAUCCUUCAUGCAGCAUGAGGGCUGUUGGCAUUUUGAAAGGUUGUUAGUGGGUAGCAUACAUGUUCUCCUUUUUGUUUUUGAAACUUGUUUGUAAACAUGAAUAAAUCUGCCCUUUUGUUAAAAUAAAAUUGCAGCAAUGGUUUCUUACAGAUGAUUUUUUCUUCUCAGCUCCUUCACUGGAAACACUGAAAAGUACUCUUUUAUAUUGCUGGUUAACUUUACAGUGCAAUUUCAAGAUGGUAACAGCCCCACUAACAAUAGUACUUUGGGUAAAUGGAGUAAUGGUGGCUGCCUUCAGAAUGAAUGUAAGCUAAAAUACUCAAAAGUCUUCACUGAGCCAAAAGGAUACUCCUUGGGAAUGAAUAGGUCUGCCUGAAAUUCUGAGACUUUCUGUGAGUACUGCAUGAUAAAUGUAUCCCUGACCACUUAAGUGAGGGGAAACUGAGAACUGACAUACAGCACGGGUGAAAAUACAUUUUUCAGUUGAUUAACAUCUUGUGCACGAAAACUGACCUGCUAGCGAUUGACUGAAGAAGUUACGGUCUGCCUCAAGGAUGAUGGAACAGUUACUUGGUCUAGUACGUCCUUAUGUUUUCUAGGUCUGAUACAGCUUAGAAGAGCAACUGAAGAGAUGAAUCAUGAACUCUAUUUCUUCCUUUCUUCUUCCAGUUCUGUGUUCUUUAAAAUAGCGAGUGGUUUGGGUUUUUUUGCCAAAUAAUCCAGAAUUUAGGGGGGUUUUAAAGGGGCCCCCUUCAAAGGAGUGCAGGAAUUAAGUUGGUAAUGAGGGAGAAGAAUACUAGAGCAAAGGGCAGAAAUGAGCAGGUGAGGAAGCUCAAGCGUAUCUCUCCCUUGUGGUGGAUACAUGCAUGCUUGGGUUUGUCCUUUAAUGGAUGAUGCUCAACCUGUAGCACUAUCGCACUGUCAACCACUCCUGAAUUCAGUCUUUUCUAUUGUACUUAAGUAAAUACACUGAAUUCUAGGCAAGGGGGGUUUGCACUUGACACUUUGUAUAGUGAUUUCUCCCACAUAUUUCUAGCACCUUAAGUCAUAGUUCUUACCUAGAGUGCUUGGUAGGGGGAUCAGUUUUUAUGGAAGCUGUUUUCUCCCUACUACAAUAGUUAAAUAAGCAUUGGCUUAAAAUGACAAGAGUUUCUUUACCCAUGAAGUACACUACCAUGUGAGAAAGUAUCUCCAUUUAAUUUCAUUAACACAUCAUAAUUUAACUUCAUAUGAUGACAGACUUUAAUUUUUCCCUCUCUUCUAGCUGUGAUCAUGACUGCAUGUUAACUUUUUUGGAAUAAAGUCUACACUUAAGCCUUUUGAGGGGGAACGGGAGGGUGAAUGUAGGCUUUGUACAUCGGUGGUCCUUGUUUCUGCUAACAGGAAACUUCUUUACAGAAACAAGGAAAAGUUGUUCAAGAUUGGGGUAUGCUUUCUUUGUGAUCUCAAGAAAUCAUAACAUGUUGCCUAGAUUAUGAAGUGAUUAUCACUGAGCUCAUGAGGCCUUCAUUGCCUUUCUCGUUGUAAGGUUUACUUGUCUUUCUUCUUGUAACUGAAAUAAAUAAAAGUGCUGUUCAUCUCA